CGCAUUGGUAGCUUUGUGAUUCUAGAAACUUCGGCAGAAUGCGAGCGGGCAGGUCACAGAUUUGAGGUGACAGACGUGGCUCUGGCAGGUCGUAUUCCUGGUAGGAGACUCUUAUGUUGCGUAACUGGCCCCCCUGUGACUCCGUACCGAGCCAGAUCCCUGCAGCCUCUCUUUCCUUUUCAGGAAAAAGGGGGGGAGAGAGGGGCUAAGCGUUGUGGAUUCCUCUGUUUAAUCCUCACUUAAAUCCAUUGACACCCCCGCUUGGGAAAAACGGUCUCCGGCCCUAUCGCGGAUCAGCCCCGGGCCGGAUGGCGGUAAUUAGUCUUGCCCCCCAUCAAAGGGGUGGAAGCGCGGAGACCUGGGCAGAGUGGCUGUGCCUGACAGGACUCCCACGCUACAGAAUGCACCCCCUAUUACCGCCACUCGGGAGGAACAAGCCCUCUCUUUCAGGGUUGCCGGGGGCCAAAAGACUGCUGAACCCCAGGGGGUCUAACGUGAUUACCCCCCCCUUCCCUUCACCCACCCCCCACCCUUUAUACCCAAGCUCACAAGAAAAGAGAUGGCUGAAAACAUUUGGUAUUCUGGAUUAAACCAAAUUACUGGCUACGUCCAACAUUAAUUGAGCUGCUCCCCACCACCCCCAACCUUAAAAGUGUUCUCUGUUGAUAUACAGGGGCUUAUCUGAAAUGUAAAACAUUUGGGACGAAAAUGGAUGAGUAUGAACUCCUAUACAACAAUGCAAAUGCUGUCAUUACAGAUGGAAAGCUUGGCAUGGUUACUUUAAAGGCUGUAAUACUCAAUAACCUGCCCAGUGGUCACUUACAAUUGUGUGUGUACCUGACAUGGAUUCCAACCUGUUUUUAAUGUCAUGCUUCCCAGAUCGGGAGAAUGAAAAUUCCACAAUGACAAGAGGCUCUGUUUUGACAGUCCAACGGUUUGUAGCGCAGUGGUUGAAAUGGAGCAUAUUAUCUUGAA